rnacentral:tRNA from 1 species
AACUAAGUAGCUUAUACUAGAGCAAUGGACUGAAGAUCCACAGGAGCUAAACAGCCAUAGUUA